rnacentral:lncRNA from 1 species
AAAAAAAAAGGAGGAAAUGGAGGAAUAAAAAAAGAGAACGAUUGGCAGUUUUUUAAAGGAGGCUUACUAUUUUUUUCGUUCGAUUAUUUUUUACUUAUUUACGAUUUUAAAAAAAAGAAGAAGGUGAUACCACUGUGAAUUUUAUUUAUUUAUUUAUUUAUUUAGCCCCUUCGCCUUUUAAUGUUUUUGUAAUUAAGUUUUUUUUUUAUUUUUUUAAUUUACCCUUUUAUUUAUUUUAAAUUCCAAUUUGAUCCAUUUGAACGGCGCCGUUUUAGAGGAGAAGGGAAAACUUCCCUUCCAGCCCCUCUAUGUAAUUCGCGCGUUCAAAUUAGUCCUUUUACUUUUAUUUAUUUGCGGAUUUACCCCAGAUUUUUUAAUUGCAAUUCAAUUUAGUUUUUUUUAUGUUCUUUUUAUUUAUUUUAUUAAUU